rnacentral:rRNA from 1 species
AGCGAACGCUGGCGGCAGGCCUAACACAUGCAAGUCGAACGGCAGCACCGUAAGAGGUUGCUCUUACGGGUGGGGAGUGGGGGAAGGGUGGGGAAUAAAACGGAAUCUACUUUUUCGUGGGGGGUAAUGAAGGGGAAAUUAAGCGAAUAACGCAUACGACCCACGGGUGAAAGCCGGGGAUCUUUGGACCUUGUGGGAUUGAACGAGCCGAUGUCGGAUUAGCUAGUUGGCGGGGUAAAGGCCCACCACGGCGACGAUCCGUAGCUGGUCUGGGAGGAUGAUCAGCCACACUGGAACUGAGACACGGUCCAGACUCCUACGGGAGGCAGCAGUGGGGAAUAUUGGACAAUGGGCACAAGCCUGAUCCAGCCAUACCGCGUGGGUGAAGAAGGCCUUCGGGUUGUAAAGCCCUUUUGUUGGGAAAGAAAAGCAGCAGGUUAAUACCCCGCUGUUCUGACGGUACCCAAAGAAUAAGCACCGGCUAACUUCGUG